ACCAUAUCCCAGUUGCAUACACAUAUUAGCAAUGGAAAAAUAUCUGGUUGUGUAUGAUAGAAAGUUUGGUAUUGAAGCCAAAGAUUUUAUUGAAAAAAAUCCACAUCCAUGAUGCAGUCUGUUUUCAGUGAUCAUUCCUACCAUGAGAUGCAACCUGAAGAAGACUUGUUUAGUGCAGUGUGCAGGGAGGUUCAGUGGAUUGCUGUAAAACCAGUGAAUAGUCCAUGGGGGGUUUGUACUUUUGUGUAUUCAAAAGU